rnacentral:sRNA from 1 species
UCUUUUUUCUUUCUUCUUAC